rnacentral:lncRNA from 1 species
GUUGAACUCAUUUAUGCCCUGUGCUUCAGCUGCUUGUUCCAAUAACUUAUUCCAUAUGUUUAUUUCCUUUAGUGUGAAAAGAUUUGGCUCAAGCUUUCUUUUUUAUUUAUAGUUUCCUGAGUUUUCAGUCCUGUCUCUGCUCGCCUGCUCCCUUUCCCGUACGCACACACCCGGGAGUGUGAAGGAGCAAGUGCCGACAGCUACAACCGCGAUUCACAGGUUCUUGAAAGGGUUGCUGUUGUUUCCGGACAGUCAUCCCGGGCUGCUGUCCCCAGGCCAUCGAGGCCGACUGCUUAGCCUGCAGCCUGGGCCUGCACUCCUGAGACACUCCGCUGCUAUCCGACUGGGUCCAUGCCCUCUCGCUCCUCAGGUUGGAGUACAGUGGCGUGAUCUUGACUCACCGCAGCCUCCGCCUCCCUGCUUCAAGAGAUUCCCCUGCCUGAGCCUCCCGUGGUCUAUUUAUUUGUUAACCAACUUUAUGUUAUUGCUAUUACGGGGUAUAGCACAUUCCUGAAUGUUCUCUGGGGCUCUCAAAGGGAACUUAGAUAGUAAAGCCUUAAAACAGCACUCGGGACUUAACAAAAAUUGCCUUGUCU